rnacentral:rRNA from 1 species
CAGUCGCCACGGUAAUACGUAGGGUGCGAGCGUUAAUCGGAAUUACUGGGCGUAAAGCGUGCGCAGGCGGUUAUAUAAGACAGAUGUGAAAUCCCCGGGCUCAACCUGGGACCUGCAUUUGUGACUGUAUAGCUAGAGUACGGUAGAGGGGGAUGGAAUUCCGCGUGUAGCAGUGAAAUGCGUAGAUAUGCGGAGGAACAUCUGUGGCGAAAGCGGCUCACUGGACAAUAACUGACGCUGAUGCACGAAAGCUAGGGGAGCAAACAGGAUUAGAUACCCCAGUAGUCCCUGUCUCUUAUAC